UUAAGCGACUAAGCGUACACGGUGGAUGCCUAGGCAAUCAGAGGCGAUGAAGGACGUGCUAAUCUGCGAAAAGCGUCGGUAAGGUGAUAUGAACCGUUAUAACCGACGAUGUCCGAAUGGGGAAACCCAGUGCAAUUCGUUGCACUAUCGUUUGAUGAAUCCAUAGUCAAACGAGGCGAACCGGGGGAACUGAAACAUCUCAGUACCCCGAGGAAAAGAAAUCAACCGAGAUUCCCCUAGUAGCGGCGAGCGAACGGGGAGCAGCCCAGAGUCUUAAUCAGCAUCAGCAUCAGGAGAACGGUCUGGAAAGGCCGGCAAUAAAGGGUGAUAGCCCCGUAUCCGAAGGUGUUGGUGUUGUGAACUCGACGAGUAGGGCGGGACACGUGUUAUCCUGUCUGAAUAUGGGGGGACCAUCCUCCAAGGCUAAAUACUCCUGAUUGACCGAUAGUGAACCAGUACCGUGAGGGAAAGGCGAAAAGAACCCCGGCGAGGGGAGUGAAAUAGAACCUGAAACCGUGUACGUACAAGCAGUGGGAGCCUUGAUUUAUCAGGGUGACUGCGUACCUUUUGUAUAAUGGGUCAGCGACUUAUAUUCUGUAGCAAGGUUAACCGAAUAGGGGAGCCGUAGGGAAACCGAGUCUUAACUGGGCGAAUGAGUUGCAGGGUAUAGACCCGAAACCCGGUGAUCUAGCCAUGGGCAGGUUGAAGGUUGGGUAACACUAACUGGAGGACCGAACCGACUAAUGUUGAAAAAUUAGCGGAUGACUUGUGGCUGGGGGUGAAAGGCCAAUCAAACCGGGAGAUAGCUGGUUCUCCCCGAAAGCUAUUUAGGUAGCGCCUCGUGAACUCAUCUUCGGGGGUAGAGCACUGUUUCGGCUAGGGGGUCAUCCCGACUUACCAACCCGAUGCAAACUACGAAUACCGAAGAAUGUUAUCACGGGAGACACACGGCGGGUGCUAACGUUCGUCGUGAAGAGGGAAACAACCCAGACCGCCAGCUAAGGUCCCAAAGUCAUGGUUAAGUGGGAAACGAAGUGGGAAGGCUCAGACAGCCAGGAUGUUGGCUUAGAAGCAGCCAUCAUUUAAAGAAAGCGUAAUAGCUCACUGGUCGAGUCGGCCUGCGCGGAAGAUGUAACGGGGCUAAACCAUGCACCGAAGCUGCGGCAGCGACAUGUAAAUGUUGUUGGGUAGGGGAGCGUUCUGUAAGCCUGUGAAGGUGUGCUGCGAGGCAUGCUGGAGGUAUCAGAAGUGCGAAUGCUGACAUAAGUAACGAUAAUGCGGGUGAAAAACCCGCACGCCGGAAGACCAAGGGUUCCUGUCCAACGUUAAUCGGGGCAGGGUGAGUCGACCCCUAAGGCGAGGCAGAAAUGCGUAGUCGAUGGGAAACAGGUUAAUAUUCCUGUACUGGUGAUAAUUGCGAUGGGGGGACGGAGAAGGCUAGGCUGGCCGGGCGACGGUUGUCCCGGUUUAAGGAUGUAGGUGGGUGAAUUAGGCAAAUCCGGUUCACUGUACACUGAGGUCUGAUGACGAGUCACUACGGUGGCGAAGUAGCUCAUGCCCCGCUUCCAGGAAAAGCCUCUAAGCUCUAGAUUAUCAUUAAUCGUACCCCAAACCGACACAGGUGGUCAGGUAGAGAAUACUCAGGCGCUUGAGAGAACUCGGGUGAAGGAACUAGGCAAAAUGGUGCCGUAACUUCGGGAGAAGGCACGCUGGCAUUAGGUGAAGUGGUUUACCCAUGGAGCUGAAGCCAGUCGCAGAUACCAGCUGGCUGCAACUGUUUAUUAAAAACACAGCACUGUGCAAACACGAAAGUGGACGUAUACGGUGUGACGCCUGCCCGGUGCUGGAAGGUUAAUUGAUGGGGUUAUCCGUAAGGAGAAGCUCUUGAUCGAAGCCCCAGUAAACGGCGGCCGUAACUAUAACGGUCCUAAGGUAGCGAAAUUCCUUGUCGGGUAAGUUCCGACCUGCACGAAUGGCGUAAUGAUGGCCAGGCUGUCUCCACCCGAGACUCAGUGAAAUUGAACUCGCUGUGAAGAUGCAGUGUACCCGCGGCAAGACGGAAAGACCCCGUGAACCUUUACUAUAGCUUGACACUGAACAUUGAGCCUUGAUGUGUAGGAUAGGUGGGAGGCUUUGAAGUGUGGACGCCAGUCUGCAUGGAGCCAACCUUGAAAUACCACCCUUUAAUGUUUGAUGUUCUAACGUUGCCCCAUAAUCUGGGGUGCGGACAGUGUCUGGUGGGUAGUUUGACUGGGGCGGUCUCCUCCCAAAGCGUAACGGAGGAGCACGAAGGUUGGCUAAGCAUGGUCGGACAUCAUGCGGUUAGUGCAAAGGCAUAAGCCAGCUUGACUGCGAGAGUGACGGCUCGAGCAGGUACGAAAGUAGGUCUUAGUGAUCCGGUGGUUCUGAAUGGAAGGGCCAUCGCUCAACGGAUAAAAGGUACUCCGGGGAUAACAGGCUGAUACCGCCCAAGAGUUCAUAUCGACGGCGGUGUUUGGCACCUCGAUGUCGGCUCAUCACAUCCUGGGGCUGAAGUAGGUCCCAAGGGUAUGGCUGUUCGCCAUUUAAAGUGGUACGCGAGCUGGGUUUAGAACGUCGUGAGACAGUUCGGUCCCUAUCUGCCGUGGGCGUUGGAAGAUUGAAAGGGGCUGCUCCUAGUACGAGAGGACCGGAGUGGACGCACCGCUGGUGUUCGGGUUGUCAUGCCAAUGGCACUGCCCGGUAGCUAAGUGCGGAAGAGAUAACCGCUGAAAGCAUCUAAGCGGGAAACUUGCCUUGAGAUGAGUCUUCCCUGACUCUUUAAGGGUCCUAAAGGAACGUUUAAGACGAAGACGUUGAUAGGCUGGGUGUGUAAGCGUAGCGAUACGUUGAGCUAACCAGUACUAAUGAACCGUGAGGCUUAACCUG
rnacentral:rRNA from 1 species